GUCUGGACAGUUUAACCGGUAAAACACUUAAUUCAUACUUAGGAGUUGAUAGUUCAAGUCUAUCUCCAGACU